rnacentral:rRNA from 1 species
AGAGUUUGAUCAUGGCUCAGGAUGAACGCUAGCGGCAGGCCUAACACAUGCAAGUCGAGCGGUAGGGAGGCUUCGGUCUCCUGAGAGCGGCGCACGGGUGCGUAACGCGUAUGCAACCUACCCUUUACAGGGGAAUAGCCCGUCGAAAGGCGGAUUAAUGCCCCAUGGCUCCUUCGAGAGGCAUCUCUUGGAGGGUAAAGAUUCAUCGGUAAAGGAUGGGCAUGCGUGCCAUUAGCUGGAUGGUGGGGUAACGGCCCACCAUGGCGACGAUGGCUAGGGGUUCUGAGAGGAAGGCCCCCCACACUGGGACUGAGACACGGCCCAGACUCCUACGGGAGGCAGCAGUGAGGAAUAUUGGUCAAUGGGCGGAAGCCUGAACCAGCCAUGCCGCGUGCGGGAAGAAGGCGCUACGCGUCGUAAACCGCUUUUGUCCGGGGGUAACCGCGGGGACGUGUCCCCGCCUGCAAGUACCGGACGAAUAAGGGUCGGCUAACUCCGUGCCAGCAGCCGCGGUAAUACGGAGGACCCGAGCGUUAUCCGGAUUCAUUGGGUUUAAAGGGUGCGUAGGCGGCCCGGUAAGUCAGCGGUGAAAGGCUCCUGCUCCACAGGAGAGCUGCCGUUGAUACUGCUGGGCUAGAAUCUUAGCGAGGCGGGCGGAAUGCGCGGUGUAGCGGUGAAAUGCAUAGAUAUCGCGCAGAACGCCGAUUGGGGAGCCAGCUCGCCAGCUGAGUAUUGACGCUGAGGCACGAAAGCGUGGGGAUCGAACAGGAUUAGAUACCCCGGUAGU